rnacentral:rRNA from 2 species
UGGGGAAUAUUGGACAAUGGGCGCAAGCCUGAUCCAGCCAUGCCGCGUGAGUGAUGAAGGCCUUAGGGUUGUAAAGCUCUUUUAUCCGGGAAGAUAAUGACUGUACCGGAAGAAUAAGCCCCGGCUAACUUCGUGCCAGCAGCCGCGGUAAUACGAAGGGGGCUAGCGUUGCUCGGAAUCACUGGGCGUAAAGGGCGCGUAGGCGGACAGCUAAGUCAGGGGUGAAAUCCCGAGGCUCAACCUCGGAAUUGCCCUUGAUACUGGUUGUCUUGAGAUCGGAAGAGGUAAGUGGAAUUGCGAGUGUAGAGGUGAAAUUCGUAGAUAUUCGCAGGAACACCAGUGGCGAAGGCGACUUACUGGUCCGUAUCUGACGCUGAGGCGCGAAAGCGUGGGGAGCAAACAGG